AGUGAACGCUGGCGGUAGGCCUAACACAUGCAAGUCGAACGGCAGCACAGUAAGAGCUUGCUCUUACGGGUGGCGAGUGGCGGACGGGUGAGGAAUACAUCGGAAUCUACUUUUUCGUGGGGGAUAACGUAGGGAAACUUACUCUAAUACCGCAUACGACCUACGGGUGAAAGCAGGGGAUCUUCGGACCUUGCGCGAUUGAAUGAGCCGAUGUCGGAUUAGCUAGUUGGCGGGGUAAAGGCCCACCAAGUCGACGAUCCGUAGCUGGUCUGAGAGGAUGAUAAGCCACACUGGAACUGAGACACGGUCCAGACUCCUACGGGAGGCAGCAGUGGGGAAUAUGGGACAAUGGGCGCAAGCCUGAUCCAGCCAUACCGAGUGGGUGAAGAAGGCCUUCGGGUUGUAAAGCCCUUUUGUUGGGAAAGAAAAGCAGCAGGUUAAUACCCCGCUGUUCUGACGGUACCCAAAGAAUAAGCACCGGCUAACUUCGUG
rnacentral:rRNA from 1 species